rnacentral:rRNA from 1 species
GACGAACGCUGGCGGCGUGCUUAACACAUGCAAGUCGAACGAAGUGGCGGACUGGUGAGUAACGCGUAAUCAACCUGCCCUUCAGAGGGGAAAAACAGUUGGAAACGACUGCUAAUACCGCAUACUGAAGGAGGGGAUUGCGUCUGAUUGGCUAGUUGGGGGGGGAACGGCCCACCAAGGCGAUGAUCAGUAGCCGGUCUGAGAGGAUUAACGGCCAAAUGUGGACUGGGACACGGCCCAGACUCCUACGGGAGGCAGCAGGGGGGAAUCUUCCGCAAUGGACGAAAGUCUGACGGAGCAACUCCGCGUGAGUGAUGACGGCCUUCGGGUUGUAAAGCUCUGUUAAUCGGGACGCGGUACCGGAAUAGAAAGCCACGGCUAACUACGUGCCAGCAGCCGCGGUAAUAC